rnacentral:lncRNA from 1 species
AUGAGACCUUAUCGGACCACAGAUGAAUUAUCACGUUGUGAUUGGUUAAAUGCCGUCACGUGGUGACCCCUAUGAGACCGUAUGGGGUUAGUAAGUUUCAUAUGGGGUUCAUGACGCGUUAAUGGCGACGUCAUCUAUUAAUGUUGUUGUGUUUCAUUGUUUAUUUUUCAACAAAACGCCGCAGAAAAAGUCCAGCGUCCGAUAAAUUCGUUAUACGGUUAACUACUGACCCCCUACGGAUCCAUAGAGGGUGAAUAAAAUUCAUAGGGGACUCGGCCUCCGGCCUCACCCCCUAUGGAUUUUACUAACCCUCUAUGGAUCCGUAUGGGGUCAGUAGCGAACCAUAUAACUUAUAGUAUGGG